AUGCCGAACCCGGAUCCGCCGCUCUCCCCGUCCCUCUUCAACUCCCUCAUCUCCUCCCGCGCCCGCGCCGGCCGCGCAGCCUACGCCUUCUCGCUGCUCGCGCGCAUGCUCGCCGCGGGCGUCGCCCCGACCGCGUUCACCUUCGCGCCGAUCCUAUCCUCGCCUUCCGUGUGUCCCCGCCGCGCCGCGCAGCUGCACCCGCACAUCCUCAAGCGCGGGCUGCUCCACAGCGACCCGUACUCUGGGACGGCGCUGCUGGGGUUCUUCGCGCGGCACGGACGGCUCGGCGAGGCGCUCGACCUGUUCGGGGAAAUGCCCGCACGGAGCGUCGUCACGUGGAACUGUCUCGUCUCUUCGUUCGCACAGCAUGGGCAUGUCCAGGACGCCGUGCUUUGGUUCAGGGAACUCGUGAGGAGCGGCGAUGGCUUGUCUGAAGGCUCCCUUGUUGCGGUCUUGCCUGCACUUGUGCCACCGGACCCAGUUCAUGGGCUUGCCAUCAAAACCGCAAUGGAUUCCUUCUCAGCAGUUGCUAACUCGUUGCUGAAUUGUUACUGUACUUGCGGCGCAGUUUGCGUGGCAGAGAAGCUAUUUGAUGGGUUCAUGUUCAGAGAUGCGGUCUCGUGGAAUACAAUGAUCACUGCUUUCGGUAGGAGUAACUUCCCAGGGAGGGCUUUUGAGCUUUUCUCAGCGAUGCAUGGUCAGGGUGUUUCUCCAGAUGAAACUACAUUUUCCAGUGUUCUUUACACUUGCACCAGUAUAAAUGCACAGGAGCAUGGGAAGUCUGUUCACGCCAAAUCUAUCAAGCAUAACCUCAAUACGACAGUAUUUGUGAGUACUUCACUGGUUGAUUUCUACAACAAAUGUGUUGGUAGGAGGGACGCUCUUAAAGUACUCGAAGAGGUUCCUCAUAAGAGCACUGCAUGUUGGAAUGCUCUGCUUUCUAUCAAGUCAGAUGGUGAUUUUCCAACUCCGUUUAUGAUUCUGAGAGAUAUGUUGCAAUCAGGGAUUAGCCCAAAUGAAUUUACCUUUUCUUCCUUGCUCAAGGAUCCAUCACUGUUGGAUGUGCAUCAGAUUCACUCAUUGGUCACAAAACUGGGUUAUGACGGUAAUGACUAUGUUUCAAGUGCUAUUAUAUCUUCCUAUGUCUCACAGGGCUUUGUUUCUGAUGCCCUGGCUUAUGGAGUUACAUUGGAUCGUGACUCCAGUAAUGUCUCCAUGAAUGUUUUAGCUGGGGCAUAUAAUAGAGCUCACAUGUACCAAGAAACCAAGGAGCUACUCUUACAUCAGCAAACUAGCGAUACUAUUUCAUGGAGCAUACUUAUUACUGCUUGUGCACGGAAUGGUGAUUAUGCUGAAGCUUUUGGACUUUUCAGACAGAUGAGAAUUUUGGGGCAUCAUUUUGAUAACUAUGUAGCUGUGAGCUUGCUGAGUAUUUGUACAAAAGUUAACAGCCUUAUUCUUGGUAGGCUGGUGCAUGGGGUAAUCAUCAAGACCAGUUAUGGGUGCUCAGACACUCAAACUAAUAAUAUGUUGCUAGAUAUGUAUGCUAAAUGUGGUAGAAUUGAAGACUGUCUGAAAGCCUUUGAGGAAAUGGAAGAUAGGAACGUAAUCUCGUGGACAGCUGUGAUUUCAGGCCUUGCACUUAACGGUUUUUCUCGUAAGGCCCUGGCAUGGUUUAGAGCUAUGGAAGAGGCUGCUGUCAAACCUGACAAGGUAGCAAUUCUGGCAGUCCUUUCAGCUUGUAGACAUGGAGGACUUGUGCAGGAGGGAAUGGAGAUAUUCAAACGUAUGGAAGCUGAUUACUCAACUGAAGCUGGGAUGGAGCAUUACAUUUGUGUGGUGGACAUGCUAUGCAAGUGUGGUCAUUUAAAGCAAGCUGACUCUGUGAUUAGAGGCAUGCCUUUCCGCCCGAGUACUAUUAUUUGGCGCACAUUCCUCCAAGGAUGCAAUACAUAUGGCAUGCUAGAUACUCAAGUGUUUAGCUAG
rnacentral:rRNA from 1 species